ensembl:lncRNA
AUAAAGACCCUUGUGAUGACACAGAGUCCAGCUGGGAAAUCCGGAACACCUCCCCACCCCGUCAAGGACGGUGACGAUCCGAGGCUCCCAUGGGGGUGACAGUGGACGGCUCUGUGGAGGCGGGGGGCGGGUGCUGACCUUCUGCCAGGUCGUCUCUGCAGCCCACGAACGUGGUGUGCCCCCAGAAGACAUUCCCGUCAGCUUACGUGGUGUCAAACACUCAGAGCUCAUUCUUACCAUCCCUUUACGCAGCCGCUUUAUUUGCAUCUUACUUGGGUCCGUUUCUGCAGCGACUGUUUCAGGAUGUUUUAACGUCAGAGUCCAAGCGCACGGAGGAGGUGCCGCCACCCCUGUGCCUCCCUCUGCGAGCUGACACUGUUGUCGAACCAAUGAGUGUCGUCUUUCUGGGCUGUGUGCUGGCUCAGAAUCUGUGGGCCUCCCGCCCUGUAAGGGUGGGGACUCGGGACUCCUGUGCUUACUGCUGCUCUGAGUCCUGAGUUGAACAUCCCUAGGUGAGAAGUCCACUGGGGACGGUUGGAAUUGUGGAAAUUUGGAGCCUUGCGAGUGCUUCCUGUUUCGUUUUGCAGAUGGAAACGGACAAAAGCCUGAAGAACAUGGAUCGGACUUUGGGGCAACCACCUUCUAUCCACAGAGACGGUGGCUUUCCCCCGAUUCCGUGCACGUGUGUGCCGGGACACAUGGACAGUUUGAAGGAGCUCGAAUGUUGUCUUAUGGACUGGACACGCAGCGUCAGAAAUAGAAACGAAUUUGAAAGUAUAAUCUCCAGGCUCCUGUGAGAGUUCUGUCAUGGAGACUGUGUUUAAUUGCUUUGGGGCAUGUCCAAAAGGUAGUCACUGAGACACCUGAGCCUGUCAGGCUCUGCUGCGGCUCCUGCAUGGAGGCUUUCUGCGGAAACAACCGCUAACAAGGCUGCCAAUUAGGGAGGAUGUUUUUCUGUGAUGUGAGCAUUUUUUCUCCAGAAACUAGCUCGAGAGUCAGAGCUGGUGCAUGCAUUGAAACAGCUAGUGUAACCACGCUGCUUGCAGCUCUCACCAGAGUCCAAGAAAGCAACUUAAUCCCACUGAGGCGAUUUCAAAAGUGGAAGGGCAGUCAGCCAUGCGGGAAACACGCCAUUCAGUUACUGCAUAUUCUAUGCGUCUGAUGUGUCCUGUACACAAAAACAAGCUGGAAAAGGAUAUGCAUGGACCAGGGGUCUCUGAACCUGGGCAUGGCAGCUUCCAGUCCCAGAGUUUGCCCUUCUCUGCACCGUAGGCAGCUGGCUGCCGAGGACGCUGGGAGUUCCCAGGACGCUUGCCACAGCCAGCUUUCAAAACAUGCUCUGAAGUCCUGAAGUCUGUGUCUCUCGGUCUCUGUGUCCAUGUCUGUGCCUGUCCCUCUGGCCCCAAAUCCAG